rnacentral:rRNA from 1 species
UACGUAGGUGGCAAGCGUUGUCCGGAAUUAUUGGGCGUAAAGCGCGCGCAGGCGGUCCUUUAAGUCUGAUGUGAAAGCCCACGGCUCAACCGUGGAGGGUCAUUGGAAACUGGGGGACUUGAGUACAGAAGAGAAGAGUGGAAUUCCCGGUGUAGUGGUGGAAUGCGUAGAGAUCGGGAGGAACACCGGUGGCGAAGGCAGGUCUCUGGGCCAUUACUGACACUGAGAAGCGAAAGCAUGGGGAGCGAACAGG